GACGUAGGGCGCGAGCGUUGUCCAGAUUUAUUGGGCGUAAAGAGCUCGUAGGCGGCUUGUCGCGUCGACUGUGAAAACCCGUGGCUCAACCAUGUGGUCUGCAGUCGAUACGGGCAGGCUAGAAUUCGGUAGGGGAGACUGGAAUUCCUGGUGUAGCGGUGAAAUGCGCAGAUAUCAGGAGGAACACCGGUGGCGAAGGCGGUUCUCUGGGCCUGACCUGACGCUGAGGAGCGAAAGCGUGGGGAGCGAACAGG
rnacentral:rRNA from 1 species